rnacentral:tRNA from 1 species
GCCUGGUUGGCCCAGUAGGUAGAGCAUGUGAUUCUUGAUCUCAGAGUCAUGAGUUCAAGCCCUAUAUCGGGUG